CUCCCCAAGUCCCCACCAAAUCCAUCCUCUUACCCUACCCUAUUAUGCGAGUAAAAACAUAUACCUAUACCGCACAAAAUUGUCCUGAAGAACGAACUUCACGUCGUCUCGACGAACUUACCUGUGUCGUACCGUUUCUGUAAUUUGUUGCUGAGGGGAUUACAUGCCGGAAUUUUCAGCACAACUAUAUAUACCUCUACGUGAAUAGUUGAGAGAUUUUAUUGCCCUGCAGUAGAAUUUGGAACGUCAAUUCGAUCGGAUCCGAAUCAAAAUUACGCGGUGAUCUGCAGCGACGAAACUUUUCUCGGGUUGUUGAGAGAAUUAUUUGCAAAUUAUUGAUUAUAUUGUGCCUGCGGCUGCGGACGUCGAUUUUGACCAGUCGUUCAAGAUGGGAUUUCAUAUUCCGUGACCCGGUCAGCCGGCCCGGUCGCUCGUGAAAUAAAGGUGAAAGCAGAUCGAACGAAAAGAUGAUCAAAAGCUGUGUAGUUCUUCGCACGUCGAACAAGUAUGGCCAGAGUAUAAUAAAUACCCUUCCACCCACGUUCUCCGUACAUAGUAGUUCUCCGGACUUGUAAUUUUUUUCAAACAAUCACACUCAUACUGCAGUAUUGCAUCCGUACCGGUGAGUAUAAAGUAUAUUGUAACAAGCGCAGCUGCUAACUAACUCGCUAUUCAAAUAUUAAUUAAAAUCGGAUGAAGAUGGAUAUAAUGGGAUUCGCGUUACUACGGCACUUACCAUUUUCAAAGUCAAAUUAUAGACGAUAAUAAUUGAGUUGUUUACACGUGUAAUUAGUGUAUAAGAUUUGAUUUACCAAGUAUUUUACUUACCAACACCAAAUGCUUGUAACAACCUUGAUGCAGAAAGCGAAUAAGAAUCUCUUGAAAUGCUUUUAUAAUAAUAUUUAUCUUCCAUGUAACGUCGAAUGCAUUGGGAUAUUUUUUUCAGCGUCAAAUUGUAUGCGCUUGGUUGCGGUAAACGAAAUCGGUUUGUAGACUUGGCGAUUUGAUAUAGUUAUGCUGUGCUUACAUCGGUCCAUUUUUUUGACGAACUAAAAUAUCGGCAAAUAAUCAAGAUCAUUUUUUUUCUUUACAAAUCUAAUGACUUCGUUAUCAUUGUAAAAUGAUAAUGCUGUAUACGUAUAUCGUCCUGUAUGAUCUUACGUAUAGUUACCACGGAAAUAUACAAGUUCUGACGGUGUGAAAGUGCCGCAUUAUUUAUUGACUGUUGAUAAAGAGAAAAAAAACUUGAAAAUAAAAAAAGGACAUAAUUAAAAUCAAGCAAAAUAUCAACUUCCAUGAAUAAAUUCUUCGACGUAGAUCUAGUAUGUAUGUAUUGUAAAAGGCGUGGUGAGGGAAGAUGAAUCCUGAAAAAGCUCACAAACUAAGAAUCUGCUUUACAUAUAUAAUCAGAUUACAAAUAUGGUUAGGUAACACGUUAUAAUUGAUUCCACUAGCAGUUAUACUCACAAACAACUUUACAUCUGUGUAAUACACAUAUGAGCAUAUACCUAUGACCUACUCACACAUCGGAAUGGAAAGUAAGAGUGAAACUUGGCGAGUUUAUAUUUUCGAUAUUUUUCUUCUUUUUUUUUUCUUUCUUUCGUUCCUCGUUCCUGCUUCUUCAAAUUCCGCUUCCGAUUCGACGAUCGCACGAUAAUUACCACGUAUAGACAAUUAAAUUCUGUAUCAGCAUUAUUUGCAGUGAAAAGUGGAAAGUUCUCUUCAAAUGCAAUUUGGUAUUCUUUUUCCCCCUGUAACACCAUAUAACGUGAGAAAAGGAGGUACACAUCUGAUAAUUUCAUAUUUUAAUUUGACAAUGAAAAUUUUUUAUGCGUACAUUUAUUUUUCGUUGUUCUUAAAAAUACAAAAAUAUAAAAGUAAGGGUGUUAUUAUCGCGACGCGUAUACAUGAGGAUGUAAUUGGUGUUGUAUACCUAUAGAGUGUGCGGUGUCAAACAUGAGUGAACACCAGAGAAAGGAUUUUAACCAGAAACUAUGGAUUCGUUGUCUCUGUAAUUAUACCCAUACCAUUCUCUCUAUAGAUCGAUUCAUUAUUAACAGUCAAUAACAGCCUUGCACCAACCCACAAAUGUACGGCUAUAAAGCCACCGGUGCAACUUGUAUUGCGAUACAACCGACACAACUUGAUUAAAGUCCAUGCCCAUCCUCUUCCUGUUCUCUCGUUUACUAAUACUCCUAUAAUUCUAUUAAAAAACUCUCUUUUUAAGUCGCUGUUAAAACCCAACUCAUCACUUACACACCUACAUACAUAUACAUAUCCGCCAUUAAGUACUUCACAUUAAUCAGAUAAAUUAUUUAACAAGAAUUUAUUAUCCAUUAAUGAUCAUUUUUUUUUUCAAAUUCAAUUAACGAUCUUUACAUACUGAAGCAUUCGCGAUAACAGUUGAAUUUUCUUUAUUUGAGAAACGAUUCUGUUUUUCACACUUACAAAUUAAAAAAAAACAAAAAGAAAAUUCAAAAACGUGAUAUUCUUACAAUUUUAUGCGAAAGAUUAUUAUCGUUGUCAAGAAUAUUUGUAAUCGUUGAAGAAACGCGGAUGUGAAUCACUUGUUCAUUUUUUUUUCUUUCUUUGUUACUUUUUUGUCCAUGUAUAAGGCCUAAAGCCGAUAGCCGCACCCUGUGCCCGGAUUGAGUUUUUUUUUUUUUUUUUUU